CCUACGGGUGGCAGCAGUGAGGAAUAUUGGUCAAUGGACGCGAGUCUGAACCAGCCAAGUAGCGUGAAGGAGGACUGCCCUAUGGGUUGUAAACUUCUUUUAUAUGGGAAUAAAACAGGGUAUGCAUACCCUCUUGUAUGUACCAUAUGAAUAAGGAUCGGCUAACUCCGUGCCAGCAGCCGCGGUAAUACGGAGGAUCCGAGCGUUAUCCCGAUUUAUUGGGUUUAAAGGGAGCGUAGGGGGAUUGUUAAGUCAGUUGUGAAAGUUUGCGGCUCAACCGUAAAAUUGCAGUUGAAACUGGCAGUCUUGAGUACAGGAGAGGUGGGCGGAAUGCGUGGUGUAGCGGUGAAAUGCUUAGAUAUCACGAAGAACUCCGAUUGCGAAGGCAGCUUACUGGCCUGCAACUGACACUGAAGCUCGAAAGUGUGGGUAUCGAACAGGAUUAGAUACCCGGGUAGUC
rnacentral:rRNA from 1 species